CCCAUGCCAGCCCACCCCAUGCCAACCGACCCCAUGCCUUUACCAAUGUGAAAUUCUAGAUUCCAUCCACCAGGGAUUGCCAGUGGCUAGGAUAUCAGAUGGCAAACGAAUGGAUACAAUGUCAUGACAGUAUUACUCACGAUAUGUAAUUAAGACUAACGGUCGUACAACGCUAAUAGUCUUACGAUAAUCAGUUACUGCCACCAACGUAACGCAGACACAGAAUUAUACCUAAGAGACGGUUCAAAUCAAAUGGUAUAUUUCCGUGCUGUAUCUGAGUCUCGUCUGGUUCAGUUGAGUUGUCGUUAUGAGGCAGUGGUAGGCAGGAAGUCAGUUCAGUUGAGUUGUCGUUAUGAGGCAGUGGUAGGCAGGAAGUCGGUUCAGUUGAGUUGUCGUUAUGAGGCAGUGGUAGGCAGGAAGUCAGUUCAGUUGAGUUGUCGUUAUGAGGCAGUGGUAGGCAGGAAGUCAGUUCAGUUGAGUCGUCGUUAUGAGGCAGUGGUAGGCAGGAAGUCAGUUCAGUUGAGUUGUCGUUAUGAGGCAGUGGUAGGCAGGAAGUCAGUACAGUUGAGUUGUCGUUAUGAGGCAGUGGUAGGCAGGAAGUCAGUACAGUUGAGUUGUCGUUAUGAGGCAGUGGUAGGCAGGAAGUCAGCAGGAAGUCAGUGGUCCGGGUGUUGAAGUUCGUAGCCGGAGACGUUAAUCCCUCGUAAGUUCGCCGUUCUUUCUCUAUUCCUGUUCUCAAUUCGUUCAGUCCAUAACAUACCCCAGCGUAUAACGACGUUAAAGUAUGUCGUUGGUUCAGGUCCCUUCUGGGACAGGUGAAGACUCAGAACGAUUGAAAGUUCCUCUCAAGGUGAUUGUUUCUCUCAGAGUCGACGGCGUAACUCAAGAGUUGUGUUAAAUUUCUCAGACGGUGAAAUUAGUAUUUUUGACAGAUUCCAGACACGGUCAUGACGUCAUCGGGUCCCUUUCAUACGACAGUGAAACACGAACUACGUUGUUAAUACAUCUAAUAAAGAGGAAAAACAGAACUAAUUAUGUAACAAACAGUUUUUAUAAUGUGGAUAACAACCUGUCAUGUGUAACACCCACUAUAUCAGGGAAGAAACGUGUUUUUAAGUGUCCUUUUUGUUCUUUGGGGCCGUUUCCUGUGAGGUAAGAGAAGGGCUUCAUUGUAGGAACAUAACAACGGAGCCAAAAGGUCUCGGAUGACCGACCCCCCC
rnacentral:lncRNA from 1 species